GAUGAAGAACGCAGCGAAAUGCGAUAAGUAAUGUGAAUUGCAGAAUUCAGUGAAUCAUCGAAUCUUUGAACGCACCUUGCGCUCUUUGGUAUUCCGAAGAGCAUGCCUGUUUGAGUGUCAUGAAAAUAUCAACCUUGACUUGGGUUUUGUGCUCUAGUCUCGACUUGGAAUUGGGUGCUUGCCGCUUUUACGAGCGGCUCACCUUAAAUGUAUUAGCUGGAUCUGUCUUUGAGACUUGGUUUGACUUGGCGUAAUAAGUAUUUCGCUAAGGACAUUCUUCGGAGUGGCCUCGUUUCUAGGACGCUUGUCCGCUUUCCAAUACAAGUUCCACCUCGUGGACAUGACUUUUUAUUAUCUGGCCUCAAAUCAGGUAGGACUACCCGCUGAACUUAAGCAUAUCAAUAAGCGGAGGA
rnacentral:misc_RNA from 1 species